rnacentral:rRNA from 1 species
AUUCCNCNGUGGNGAAUAUUGGACAAUGGGGGCAACCCUGAUCCAGCAAUGCCGCGUGUGUGAAGAAGGUUUUCGGAUUGUAAAGCACUUUNGGCGGGGACGAUGAUGACGGUACCCGCAGAAGAAGCCCCGGCUAACUUCGUGCCAGCAGCCGCGGUAAUAAAUA